rnacentral:rRNA from 1 species
CCUACGGGAGGCAGCAGUGGGGAAUCUUGCGCAAUGGGCGAAAGCCUGACGCAGCGACGCCGCGUGCGGGAAGACGGCCUUCGGGUUGUAAACCGCUUUCAGCAGGGACGAAAUUGACGGUACCUGCAGAAGAAGCUCCGGCCAACUACGUGCCAGCAGCCGCGGUAAGACGUAGGGGGCGAGCGUUGUCCGGAAUCAUUGGGCGUAAAGGGCUCCUAGGCGGUUCAGUAAGUCGACUGUGAAAAUCCAAGGCUCAACCUUGGGACGCCAGUCGAUACUGCUGUGACUCGAGUUCGGUAGAGGAGUGUGGAAUUCCUGGUGUAGCGGUGAAAUGCGCAGAUAUCAGGAGGAACACCAACGGCGAAGGCAGCACUCUGGGCCGAUACUGACGCUGAAGAGCGAAAGCGUGGGGAGCAAACAGGAUUAGAUACCCUAGUAGU